CCUCUACAAGUGUGACAUCAGCGGUCAUGGAGAGUCUCCAUCCAGCUGGAUCACUGUCACAGACAAACACACCAACACACCUCCACCUACAUCCACCUCUGCUCCUGAUUCCACUUCCAUCACUCUCUCCUCCUCUUCUCUCUGUGCUUUCAUUUGUUGGAUCAGUCUGUGUUGUGGUUCUACUGGUGUUACUGGUUCUGAUGGUGAGACGAUGUGUUCAUAGGAAACCUGAAGCAGAUCAGAAAGAAACUGGAGCAGAUGACAUCAUCACUCAUGUCAUGUACAUCACCAUCAAGAUAUCAAAUAAUCAGAAACAGCCAAUCAGAUGAAGUUGAGGUAGUAUUUUGGUUUCCAUGUUUUCUUUCUCGCAGGUUCGGUGUUGAGGUUCAUUCCAUUUUCAGCUCCUUGUUAUCAUAGUAAAUAUGUUUGACAGCGUCUUUGUGGAAGAAUUUGCUUUGGAAUUUUAAGUGGACAUUGGGAGAACUGCAGCUUCUGGCGCUUAAUGUGUCUGGUUGGUGUGAUCUUCAUCUUACAGUGUGCAGCUCCCUGAGGCAACUGUUGAAUUGUCACGAAAUAAAUAAACCAAAGUGGAACUUCACUCGUGUCUAUGACAUGUGCUAUGAAGAUGGAUGCUGUUUUGAGAGUUGCUUCUAGAAUGAGUUUGGUGCAGUUUUACAAUGUGGGAAACUUCAAAUAGCAGUGAGGGUGAAAAUGAACAUUAUGACCACAUUUUAGAUUAUCAAGACAUUCGCAGACAGAUCUGCACAGAGAGAAGAAUUAUACAAGGCAUCAAACACAGAGAACCCAGAAUAGAGGCUAAGAUUGAAUCUGGCUAACACAACAAUGUGGUGACUGAAUUUGUUUGUUCCAGGCUUAAUUAUCAGUUUAUCACAGAUGAGCUGGAUUAGCCACUGCUCAGGGAAGGGAAGGACACACGCCACACAGAGAGAGACACCAUGACACAUUUUCCUAAUCUGAUGCUAUCAAAACCUGAAAACACAAUAUUUAAGCUGUCUGAAACUCAGUCUAAGAGAUUUGAGAAGAUGAAGGUCAGAUAAAACUGGUUUCCUAAUUCAGUUUAUGCUUUUAAUGCAGGUGGUCACACUGGUUUCUUAAAUACCUUCAUGUCUAAAUACUACUAUGUUGUUAUUUUUUUUUUAAAAAGGAGGAAAGGACGUCUACAAAUUAUUUGUAAAAGUUUUUUUUUGUAAACAGUCUCACAUGUUGUCACUACCAGGAGUGAAAAGGGCACCAGCAAAAAGUAAACCAAAGAAAGAUCAGUCAGAAAAGAUCAGGAGAGAGCAAUGAUCUGUGGCCACUGCCUGCUAAAUCAUUACGUUUUUUUUAGGGUUUAUCUUGUUGCCUCUUCAUUGAACUUGUUAGGAGGUGAAAUUUGUUCAAAGUGGUUUCGUGGACAGAUAAAAUCCAUCACUUCUGGCCUUAACUAUCAGAGUUUACUCAGCUACAGGUCCACCCUGUAUGGACUAUGAUGUAAUGUGCACUGUAACUUUCGGGGCACAGACCUUCAGUAAUAUUAUAACUAAUCAAUAAGCACUAAAAAGUUCAGACAAGGCAAAUAUGCAUCUACUAUCUGUUAGCUGGAUUAGCAGGAAGAAUUAACAAUUAGUAUGAGGUGUUUAAAAAGAAAGACCGAACAGGUCAACGAUCUUUAACUCUGUGCUUUCAACCUCUUUGCAUUUAAAACCACAGCAGCUACUUUUCAUUGUUUUUGCAGACACUUCUCACCACAGUGUGUGUUGGUUUGGCUAAUAAUAGUACUCGUGUUGUGAGAACCUGUUUGCUUUGUCCUCUUUGGUGAAGUGUAUCAGUCUCCAUUGAAACAAGAUGACACCUAUAAUGCUCCAGUUCUCUGUGGUCACUUCAAAGCAGAGACAGUGAGGAGAGAAAACUGUGCAGUUUCUGUGGUUUAUAAACAUUUUCAUGUACUCUCUUCAUAAUGUUGCAUAAAAGAAUAUAAUCAAAUGUUUUGCCAUAGCUGUAUUGCAGUGGUGUGUGGUGACCUUUAUAGGAAGACAAGCAGAGACAACAGCACCCUCCAAAUGCACACCGUUCAUCCUCCACUGUUUAACACAAAUUGGACCAGAUUUAAACAUACCAAAUUUUCUCUCUGUCAUAUAUUUGAUAUAUCUGCUGAGAGCUCAUGCCUUCAGUGGUGUAGUGGUCAAUACGUUCAGGUGGCUUAUGCAUGGUUCCUGCUUUGACUCCAGUCAGAGAGACAAAUCCUCUUUGGGAAAGUGUCAGGAAGUACAUCCAGGAUAAAACUGGCAAAACUCUGCUGUGGAGCAAAUAAGUAAAUAAGAGCAGCUGGAUGUGUUUUGCUGAAAUGCUGAGCAGCAUUUAAGAAAAACACAUCCAGCUUUAACCCCCCAGAACCAGCUUAGUCAUCAGUGCAGUGGAUUUUAAAACAUUUAUCCUUUUUAUUUGAGCACAUUAGUCAGAUGUUCAUUUGAUUCUUAGAUUUGAUUCACGAGUUUGUUUUAAAGUACAAAAACAAUUCUGCAACGGACAAUUGGGCAUGAGCAUCAUGAACUUCAAAUCAUAUGCAUCUGUGUUAAGUUUAUUUAUUUACUCUAGUUCAUGAAGAUACACAGUCGGGUUGAUUAUCAGCUUUUGCUGGUCAAAGGUACGACCUCGUACAUCUGAUAUCUGAUGUAAAGCAGGUUUUAUGACUAUUUUUCUAUCAUAUAUCAAGAAAUGUUUGCCCAACAUUUUUAUAAUGUCUAAAGAUCAGUUGAGGACAACACUGGAUGACUGUUUUAAGCCAUCAUUCUGGGUAAUAUGUGGUUUGUUGUGUUUGUUCUGGAACUGGAUCAGCAGCAUUUUAUUGAGAGCACCAAAAAUGAUUAUAUAAAAUUGAUGACAACA